UCUCCAUUCUCAAAGAGAUGUUUAAUCAGCAAGAUCAAGUCAUUCCACAGAGGAAAGAUCCAUUCUACAAGGCAAAGAUCCAUUCUACAAGGCAAAGAUCCAUUCUACAAGGCAAAGCUCCAUUCUACAAGGCAAAGCUCCAUUCUACAGAGGAAAGAUCCAUUCUACAAGGCAAAGAUCCAUUCUACAAGGCAAAGCUCCAUUCUACAAGGCAAAGCUCCAUUCUACAAGGCAAAGCUCCAUUCUACAAGGCAAAGAUCCAUUCUACAAGGCAAAGCUCCAUUCUACAAGGCAAAGCUCCAUUCUACAGGGCAAAGAUCCAUUCUACAAGGCAAAGAUCCAUUCUACAAGGCAAAGCUCCAUUCUACAAGGCAAAGAUCCAUUCCACAGAGGAAAGAUCCAUUCUACAAGGCAAAGAUCCAUUCUACAGGGGAAAGAUACAUUCUACAAGGCAAAGCUACAUUCUACAGAGGAAAGCUACAUUCUACAGAGGAAAGCUACAUUCUACAGGGGAAAGCUACAUUCUACAGGGAAAGCUCCAUUCUACAGGGGAAAGCUACAUUCCACAGAAGAAAGCUCCAUUCUACAAGGCAAAGCUCCAUUCUACAAGGCAAAGCUCCAUUCUACAGGGGAAAGCUCCAUUCUACAGGGGAAAGCUCCAUUCUACAGGGGAAAGCUCCAUUCUACAGGGGAAAGCUCCAUACCACAGAGGAAAGGCAAAACCCACUAUGCUAGUGGUUCCCAAACUCUUUUGUUUUUUGCCCUAGCGCUACACGGCUGAUUCAUGAAGCUUUGUUUAUAUGAAUCAUCUGUGUAGUGCGAGGGCAAAAACUAAAAUGUACACCCAGUGGGCCCAGGAUCUAGUUUGGGAAACACUGCAAUCAGCAGUGCAUCUCUAUCUGCCUGCCUCUGCCUGGACCAACGAAAACAAUGUAACUCACAACAACUACAUUCCUCAUCAGUGCUUCAACCACAGACACCAGGAAACAAUGGGGAAACCGACAGGGGAGGAGGAGAGGAGAAGGGAGGAGAGGUGGAGAGGAGAAGGGAGGAGAGGAGGAGAGGAGAAGAGAGGAGAGGGGGAGAGGAGAAGAGAGGAGAGGAGGAGAAGAGAGGAGAGGAGGAGAGGAGAAGGCAGGAGAGAUGGAGAGGAGAAGGGAGGAGAGGGGGAGAGGAGAAGAUAGGAGAGGAGAAGAGGAGAAGAGAGGAGAGGAGAAGAGAUGAGAGGAGAAGAGGAGAAGAGGAGAAGAGAGGAGAGGAGAAGAGAGGAGAGGAGAAGAGGAGAAGAGAGGAGAGGAGAAGAGGAGAAGGCAAUAGACAGCAGUAUUCAUAAAGUAUCUCCGAGGAAAUCAAGAGGAAACUUAGAGAAGAAAAGAACAGAAGGGAGGAGAAAGGAGAAAAAGAGAGGAGAAGAGAGAGGAGAAGAGAGAGGAGAGGCCAGGACUGUAAAGUCUAAAGCAAGAGAAGGAGGGUUCAAUGAAGAUAGCUAGUAGCUACUGUUUCCCUUCAGCCCACAACCAGUCAUAAUGCUCCCUCGGUACGUCUUCUCAUCAUGACAAACAGACAACAGGACAAACUUUACUCUUGAACACACACAUGUUAAAACCAUUACAUGACAUUAUAACUGAAUCUCUCUCUGCCAUUCAAAGUAUGUUCUCACUUACUUAGCUACGGUUCAACAGCGUCGCGCCGCUACCUAGUAAAGACCAUCCAUUCUCUUGGGUCUCUCUCUUUCUCCAUUCCUCCCUCUGUUUCCCACUUGUUCUCUCUUUCUCGCACUUUCUCAGUUACUCCUUCUCUGUGAGACACACGCAGGCAGAGUCUCACACACUCCCACAGACGCCCUCUCACACACUCCCACAGACGCCCUCUCACACACUCCCACAGACACCCUCCCACAGACACCCUCUCACACACUCCCACAGACGCCCUCUCACACACUCCCACAGACGCCCUCUCACACACUCCCACAGACACCCUCCCACAGACACCCUCUCACACACUCCCACAGACGCCCUCUCACACACUCCCACAGACACCCUCUCACACACUCCCACAGACACCCUCUCACACACUCCCACAGACACCCUCUCACACACUCCCACAGACACCCUCUCACACACUCCCACAGACACCCUCCCAC
ensembl:lncRNA